rnacentral:rRNA from 1 species
AACGCACCUUGCGCCCUUUGGCUAUUCUGAAGGGCAUGCCUGUUUGAGCAUCAUAAACAUCUCAACUCUCGUGGUUUUCCAUGACGAGAUUGGACUUUGGGGGUCUUGUUGGCCUAUGUUCAGCUCCCCUAAAAUUUAUCAGCUUUCCAGUGUUUGGUGGCAUCACAGGUGUGAUAAAUAUCUACGCUUGUGGUUGUUUACCAGGUAUGUCCUCUCCUUGUGGAGGGGGCUUGCUGGAGCUCAUAGACGUCUCUCCUCGUGGAGACAGCUGUUUGAAGUUUGGUCUCAAAUCAGGUAGGAUUACCCGCUGAACUUAA